rnacentral:rRNA from 1 species
UACGUAGGGGGCAAGCGUUGUCCGGAAUCAUUGGGCGUAAAGCGCGUGUAGGCGGCUCGGUAAGUCUGCUGUGAAAGUCCAGGGCUCAACCCUGGGAUGCCGGUGGAUACUGUCGAGCUCGAGUCCGGAAGAGGCGAGUGGAAUUCCUGGUGUAGCGGUGAAAUGCGCAGAUAUCAGGAGGAACACCGGUGGCGAAGGCGCACAUCUGGCCCGAUACUGACGCUGAAGCGCGAAAGCUAGGGGAGCAAACGGG